CCAAAGGCUCUUUUAAGAGCCACCCUCAUUGCAAUAAGAAUAUUCU
rfam:Salmo salar isolate Sally breed double haploid chromosome ssa13, whole genome shotgun sequence.